CGUAGGGUGCAAGCGUUAAUCGGAAUUACUGGGCGUAAAGCGUGCGCAGGCGGUUAUGUAAGACAGAGGUGAAAUCCCCGGGCUCAACCUGGGAACUGCCUUUGUGACUGCAUAGCUAGAGUACGGCAGAGGGGGAUGGAAUUCCGCGUGUAGCAGUGAAAUGCGUAGAUAUGCGGAGGAACACCGAUGGCGAAGGCAAUCCCCUGGGCCUGUACUGACGCUCAUGCACGAAAGCGUGGGGAGCAAACAGGAUUAGAUACCCUGGUAGUCCACGCCCUAAACGAUGUCAACUAGGUGUUGGGAGGGUAAAACCUUUUAGUACCGGAGCUAACGCGUGAAGUUGACCGCCUGGGGAGUACGGCCGCAAGGUUA
rnacentral:rRNA from 1 species